rnacentral:rRNA from 1 species
GUUUGAUCAUGGCUCAGAACGUACGCUGGCGGCACGCCUAACACAUGCAAGUCGAACGAAGUAGCAAUACUUAGUGGCAGACGGGUGAGUAACAUGUGGGUAUCUACCCUUUGGCCUGGAAUAACACGAGGAAACUUGUGCUAAUACCGGAUAAGUCUUUACGGAGAAAGCUUUAUGCACCAUUGGAUGAGCCCGCACUUGAUUAGUUUGUUGGUAGGGUAAUGGCCUACCAAGACUAUGAUCAAUAGCUGAUUUGAGAGGAUGAUCAGCCACAUUGGGACUGAGACACGGCCCAAACUCCUACGGGAGGCAGCAGUGGGGAAUCUUGCACAAUGGAGGAAACUCUGAUGCAGCGAUGCCGCGUGAGUGAAGAAGGCCUUUGGGUUGUAAAGCUCUUUCGUCGGGGAAGAAAAUGACUGUACCCGAAUAAGAAGGUCCGGCUAACUUCGUGCCAGCAGCCGCGGUAAUACGAAGGGACCUAGCGUAGUUCGGAAUUACUGGGCUUAAAGAGUUCGUAGGUGGUUGAAAAAGUUGGUGGUGAAAUCCCAGAGCUUAACUCUGGAACUGCCAUCAAAACUUUUCAGCUAGAGUAUGAUAGAGGAAAGCAGAAUUUCUAGUGUAGAGGUGAAAUUCGUAGAUAUUAGAAAGAAUACCAAUUGCGAAGGCAGCUUUCUGGAUCAUUACUGACACUGAGGAACGAAAGCAUGGGUAGCGAAGAGGAUUAGAUACCCUCGUAGUCCAUGCCGUAAACGAUGUGUGUUAGACGUUGGAAAUUUAUUUUCAGUGUCGCAGGGAAACCGAUAAACACACCGCCUGGGGAGUACGACCGCAAGGUUAAAACUCAAAUGAAUUGACGGGGACCCGCACAAGCGGUGGAGCAUGUGGUUUAAUUCGAUGCAACGCGAAGAACCUUACCUACACUUGACAUGUUGAGAAGUU